rnacentral:misc_RNA from 1 species
UUGGUUUGUUACCGGUGGUUGGCCCUCUGCUUUUGCAACGACUUCCACCGGUCAAUCCUUUUAUGUUACGCGUCAACGUUGAUUUUCCUCGAGCGAUUUUGGUUUCCUGUUUUGCCUACCUAUGUGAUGGGAUUGUUUGAUUUCAUCAAAAUCUUGUUUAAUCUUGCGCUGUAAUGUUGCUUAUGGCGUGGGAGGAACCUCAAAGCAUUCUAUAUGAUCCACCUUGUUGACGCACAUGCGUCGUUGCUGUGGCCUAUUAGUUUCGCUUGGUAUUCUUGACACGGUACACAUAUUAUGGGCGUGUGGGUCUCUGUAAAUCUUUUUUUGCCCUUGUUGAACGUUGCUAUUCCUCUAAGAUUACUGCCUAGCCCGAAAUGGGUUGUACCACCGGGAAGGUUAUGUGGUGAAGAGCAAUGCUAGCGUUCUUGCUUCUCUAAAACGAACGGCCUUUGCCUGCAUGGUCUCGUACCAGCGGUUGGGCUAUGUCGAAGAGGGAUGCUACCUGGUUGAUCCUGCCAGUAGUCAUAUGCUUGUCUCAA